rnacentral:lncRNA from 1 species
AUGAUCCCAUCAUACUUCUGCUGGAACCAGCGCAUGGCCUCCUCUUUUGAGGCAGAGCUUGCGGACGCAAAGUUCCCGCAUGGGGUUCUCCUUUUCACCUUGAUCCUGUGCCACGAUGGAGAACAGGAAGAAAAGCUCUUUUUCACUUAUUUGAAUGCAUAUACAUGCACAGAAAGAGAGACAGAGAGACAUAGACAGAGAUCUCAUCAACUGAUUCACCUCCCAAAUGCCCACAAUAGCUAGGCUGGGCCAGGCUGAAGUCCAGAGCUUAGAACUCAAUCCAGGUCUCCCAAAUGGGUGGCAAGUACCCAAGUGCUUGAUGCAUCACAGGUACCUCCUAAAGUGCACAUUAAGUGAAAACAGGAAUUGGAAGUGGAGCCGGGACUCUAACCUAGGCAUUCCUAUAUGAGAUGUGGGGUCUGACGUGAUGUCUUUACUGCUGUGAUGAAGACCCACUCCUUUUAUUUCUGUCUUUUUUUUAAACUACUGAUAAGAAUAUUCAUUAUAAAAUUUCAAAGAAUGCUUUAGCUUUAAUCAUCUAUUCACCAAGAUAUUAAUAGCUAGAGCUUCACUUAUAUAGGAAAAUUGUUUUUGCUGUAAUCAUCAGUUGUUAUAAACUGGAACUUUAUCUGACACUCAUCUAUGCUGUGGCUUUUAUUUAACUCACUCUGAUUCAUUUGGUUUAUCCAGGAAUAGUGGAUUCCCUGUCAUCAGAACAGUCCUAAAAGGUGUGUCAGGACCCCUGCAGCCCUUAUUCCUUUGCAACAGGCUUUAUAGUUGGUUUUUUUUUUUUUUUAAUACACUUCCUCUCAUCUAAGUACUGAGUCUUCCUUGGUACCUCUACAUAAGGAAGAAAUUGGUUUUUCUUUUCCAUCUGACAAAAAGAAGAGGGAAAAAGAGAGAAGGAUAGGUGGACAGGUCAGGAGAGAGAAUCUUUUUAUUUAUUUAUUUAUUUGACAGAUAGAGUUAGACAGUGAGGAGAGAGAGAGAUGGAGAGAAAGGUCUUCUUUCUGUUGGUUCACCCUCUAAAUGGCCGCUACAGCCGGAGCUACGCCGAUCCAAAGCCAGGACCCAGGUGCUUCUUCCUGGUCUCCCAUGCAGGUACAGGUGCCCAAGCACUUGGGCCAUCCUCCACUGCCUUCCUGGGCUACAGCAGAGAGCUGGACUGGAAGAGGAGCAACCAG